UAUGGGCACUAGGAAGAGAUUCUAGA
rnacentral:piRNA from 1 species